GGGGACGUAACAAAGCGACCCAGGAAUGCUUGGGCGUGCCUCCACCCACGCCGGCGUCGGCGGGCGUAUUUCGCCUCACAGUAGGUCGCCGCGACCCGUUGCUUUUGGGGACGUCGAAGGCCCGGACGGAUUGGUACCCUACCGGCUGGGGAUGCGGCUUCGGCUUCUCCUCUUGUCCGGUGGGCGAAACCGCCGGUGUCCUGGCUGCCCUGCGACGGUCGUAGAGACGAGCCCUCCCCUUCGGGGGGGCGGCUCUCGCGGCGUGCAAAAGGUCGGUGAUCCACCCGACCCGUCUUGAAACACGGACCAAGGAGUCUAACAUGUGUGCGAGUCAGUGGGCGCACUAAACCCAGAGGCGUAAUGAAAGUGACACGGGCUCGGCUGUCGCCUCGUGUGGCAGCCGGACUCAGGGCCGAUCCCUCACCGGUUGUCCUCGCCUCUCUCCCGCGUCUCGGUAAGCCGGGUGAGYUAUUUUCCCCGGCCGCUGCUGCGGGGCUCGGGGGAAGGCGGGGUGCGAUGGUGUCUGUAAAAAAGAGCCUGCUGUUGCAGGGGGGCGCAGGCCCGGGACUUGCCAGGACGCCGCGAGACUGUCACUUUGCUGUGAGGCUCUCGGGCCGAUCAGCGGGUCAUGCGUGCAGUCGGCAAGUACCAUGAGCAGACAUGUUGGGACCCGAAAGAUGGUGAACUAUGCCUGGCCAGGAUGAAGCCAGAGGAAACUCUGGUGGAGGUCCGUAGCGAUUCUGACGUGCAAAUCGAUCGUCGGAGCUGGGUAUAGGGGCGA
rnacentral:rRNA from 1 species